AGCGAACGCUGGCGGCGUGCCUAACACAUGCAAGUCGAACGUGAAAAGGGAAACCUGAGUAAAGUGGCGUACGGGUGAGUAACGCUUAGGUAAUCUACCCCAGAAUCUGGAAUAACCUGCCGAAAGGCGGGCUAAUACUGGAUAGAGCGAGGGAACUCGUAAGAGAGUUUUUCGGGAAAGGGAGCCCGCAAGGGCCUUCGUUCUGGGAUGAGCCUGCGUCUCAUUAGCUAGUUGGUAAGGUAACGGCUUACCAAGGCGAUGAUGAGUAGCUGGUCUGAGAGGAUGAUCAGCCACACUGGAACUGAAACACGGUCCAGACUCCUACGGGAGGCAGCAGUGGGGAAUCUUGCGCAAUGGACGAAAGUCUGACGCAGCCACGCCGCGUGAGUGAAGAAGGCCUUCGGGUUGUAAAGCUCUGUCGGAUGGGACGAACAUCUUCAUAGUGAAUAGCUAUGAGGACUGACGGUACCAUCAAAGGAAGCACCGGCUAACUCCGUG
rnacentral:rRNA from 1 species